rnacentral:rRNA from 1 species
GGUGCAAGCGUUAAUCGGAAUUACUGGGCGUAAAGCGCACGCAGGCGGUCUGUCAAGUCGGAUGUGAAAUCCCCGGGCUCAACCUGGGAACUGCAUUCGAAACUGGCAGGCUUGAGUCUUGUAGAGGGGGGUAGAAUUCCAGGUGUAGCGGUGAAAUGCGUAGAGAUCUGGAGGAAUACCGGUGGCGAAGGCGGCCCCCUGGACAAAGACUGACGCUCAGGUGCGAAAGCGUGGGGAGCAAACAGGAUUAGAUACCCUGGUAGUCCACGCCGUAAACGAUGUCUACUUGGAGGUUGUGCCCUUGAGGCGUGGCUUCCGGAG